GGCACACACGGGACACCCAUAGGCCGGGGGAGGUGGCGCUGUGCGCAUGCGCCGCCGGGGGCCGUUCCCGCGCGCCCGCCCCUUUCCCGCCGCUGCUUCACCUGAGGCGGCGGCGCGCGCGGGGCGCAGCAGAGCCAGGUGAGCCGGGCAGGCCGUGGCUGCGCUGCGGUAAGCCCGGCUUGAGGCCUCACGGAGUCCCGGGGAUGGCUCCUGCCCUCGGAGGUGACGGAGCUGCCCCUCAGGACCAGGUGAGGCCCCAGCGCCUCCUCAGCGAGGCCCCGAGUGAUUUGCAGGAGCCUCAGCAGUCGGGCCCUUCUGUUUCGGUGCCAAACCCCAGCUCCCACUUGCUCAAAUCUUCCUCUCCCCUUAACACGCUAAUGACUACUUAACUCCAGCCUGCGGUUUCUUGAUUACACCCUGAUGAAUGAGAGCGAUGUGACAAGGAGCAGCACCUUCGGCAGGUAGUUGGUGACGGGCGUGGGGCUCCUGAAGGUCGGGGCCGCUCCUUCGCAGGCUGGCCCUGCCUUUUCCAGGUGCCACCUCCCCUGGGAAGCUGCAGAGCCUCGGCCACAGCCCCAAAACCACUGCUGGGGCUGUGUAGGAGGGGACAGCGCUGCUGUGGUUUGGGUUUGGCAGCCGUGAAGGAAUUAGUGAGAGCAGCAGGCACCGAGAGGGGGAAGGGCACCAACCCCUUUGGCAGCGCUGCUGUUUGCCGAGGACUUCGGGGCUCUCUCUUGCCGCUUUCAGCUUUGAGUUCCUUUCCUAAAUCCUUUAGUCCACAAUCCCUAGCUGUGGUUGGUUUCCUCAUCUGCAAAUGCCCCCCUGCCCCCAACAGUGUAGGGCACUGGAUUUGAGAUUCUGCCAAAAAAUCUCGGCGCCCUCACUCCCCCGGAGUUAGAAAUACCAAAUUCCAGAGGGUUUGACUUGCUCUGGAUUCCUGAGCAUAAACCCCAGAUCUGAGCUCCCUGUGCAGAGCAGGGAUUGGAGCUCUCAGAGGCAAAUUCAGGCCCAAGUUAAAAGGGCAGGGAAGGCUGGGGAAGCCCCGGGGUGGGAUCAGAACAAUGCUCCCAGUUUUCCUCCUUGCCCCAGCUAUCCCUGGAGCAGGACAGGACACGCUGACCCAGCCCACGGGAGCUGGUGCUGCCUCACCCAGUCCAGAGCUGUUCCAAUCUCUGCUGGAAGCGGUCACCUGGAAGAACCUUGGAGUGUGUGGACACUGCUCCAUCUGAGCCCAGCGCCCCUGGGCAGUGCAGCCUCUGGAGGAAAAGCAGGGAGAUGAUGUCAGGGCAGCUGCUGCUGCUGCUGCUGGACACCUCCGUGGAUGUGGAGGAUGCCAGGUGCUGGAAUUCCCUGCCUUAGAGCGGGAAGGAGGAAGUACACCGGGGAUUUUUUGUUCCUUGGAAGGUGAACGCACAAGAAGCAGCGACAGAGCCCCUCUCCCAAAGGUGGGAUCUCAGCUGAGGGACGACGUAAAACAGAGGAGCACAGAGGAGGAGCAGAGCCAUCAACCACUUCCACAGCCACCAAGGGGAUCAGAUACAAAAAUCUCUGGGUUCCUGGCGUGGUGGAAAUAAGGGACUUGUCCUCCCAGCCCUGCUGGUGUCCCUCCAGCACCGGGGGUGGCCCAGGGAAGGGGCAGCUGCUGAGAGACUUUUGCUGUCCCCACGCUGUGGUUUGUCCCCAGGGCACCCAGCAGGGCACACUCCCCUGUUGCUGCUUGGCUGAGGCAGCUGACAGCUCCACGGCCCAGUUCCCACAGGGAAUUGCUCUCCCCAUCCCUCCCUGGGAUCCCCAACACGUCAGGCACGGAGAGGGAGGGAAACCAGCCCCGAGCAGCCCCAGCCCCGCAGCUCUGCUCUGAGCACACACCUGCCCCAGAGCCAGAGAUCCUUAUCUGCCCCAUUUCCUCUGCUGCUGGGUGACAUCAGAGGCAGCUCUGGCCCUGCUGUGGCUCCUGGUGUCCUUCUCCCCUGCAUUUUCCUUCUCUCCAGGUGUAACCAGAGUGGGAAAAACCCUCCUGUGUCAGGUGAAGGUGACACAAAUCGUCAUCUGCCCCCUGAGCCCCUGCAGUCUCUCAGCUGUGGGUGACAUUGGCUUCCCCUACAAACCAGAUUUUUUUUGUCUAAGCAGCUUAGGGCCUUUCAGGGUGAAAAGUACAGCAAAAGUAGGAGAACGUGCUGGCCCAGGGGCUGCAGACACAGCAGAACGUGGUGCCACCCACCUGGGGGUUUUUCCUGGAGGCCUGGCUGCUCUGGGCUUGCUGAGGAAGCAGAUGGGAGCUGUUGCUGCUCAGGGAGCAGCUCCGGCGCCGUGGGCAGGAGGAGCUCACACAGAGGUGAGCAGAUGGCCCCAGCUGGAGGUUGCUGGUGCUGUGGGCAGGAUUCGGGGCUCUGCCAGCCCGGGGGCUCGGGGCCGCCUGCUCUGGGUGUUUGACACGGCUUUAGGGCUGGAAUGCUCUGGCAGUGCCCAGCCCCGCCGUGCCACGUGAGCUGCGCUGCUCAGGGGCCCAGCUCAGAGCUCUGGGCCUGCCUCAUCCCCGUUCCUGCUGGGAGGAUUCUUGGGAAAACUCCUCCUCAUGGAGCAGCACUGGCCCUUCUUCACCCUGUGCCUGGUGCUGUGUGAGGCCUCCGAAUCCUGACAGUGCUGCCUUAGGGACAGCCUGCACCAGCAGGACUUGACACAGCUGGGACAAUUUCUCCUUACCCAAAAGAGAAGAGUCCUUGGAGCUUGGUGCUGCUCGAGGAUCCUGGAAAGAACAGGCUCUGCGGAGGGAAGCUGAGGCACAGGUGCUGCUGACACCUCCAGCUCUGCAAGCCAGCCAGACUGUCAGGCUUUGUCUUUCAGAUCUCCUGCUCAGGAUGCCCUGGAGCGAUGGGAGAGGAAGCAAAAGGGAAACAAAGGGGUUUUCCUGCUGGAUUUUGCCACAGGAAGCUCUGUGCUGUCCGAGGGAGCCGGGCCACCGAGCUCAGAGGCACCGGGGCUUUGAGGCCGUGUCACUGCAGAGGAGAAGUUCAAGCAGAGGAAAUUCCUGUUCCCGUUUUCCUUUCCCAGUUCAGUGGAAAGGCACAAUUAAAGAUUAAUUGCCUCCAAAUAACAGAGCAGAGCUCACACCCACCAGCACCUCCUUGUGCCUGCGAUCAGAGGCAGCUCCGUGUGGGGGUUGUUCACUUUUCUUUGGGGUCCGGGGGGCAGGGGAACACGACUGCGGGAUCAGAGCCAGCAGCCUCUGCAUGAACACCACCAAAAAGUAAAAUUUCCCUUUGGUUA